UCGGGGUACUCGAGUGGCGAACGGGGGAGUAACACGUGGGUGUCUGCCCUGCACUUUGGGAUAAGCUGGGAAACUGGGUCUAAUACCGAAAAGGACGCGCUCUUCAUGGGGUGUGGUGGAAAGCUUUUGCGGUGUGGGAUGGGCCCGCGGCCUAUCAGCUUGUUGGUGGGGUAAUGGCCUACCAAGGCGACGACGGGUAGCCGGCCUGAGAGGGUGACCGGCCACACUGGGACUGAGAUACGGCCCAGACUCCUACGGGAGGCAGCAGUGGGGAAUAUUGCACAAUGGGCGCAAGCCUGAUGCAGCGACCCCGCGUGAAGGAAUGACGGCCUUCGGGUUGUAAACCUCUUUCAAUAGGAACGAAGCGCAAGUGACGGUACCUAUAGAAGAAGGACCGGCCAACUACGUGCCAGCAGCCGCGGUAAUACGUAGGGUCCGAGCGUUGUCCGGAAUUACUGGGCGUAAAGAGCUCGUAGGUGGUUUGUCGCGUUGUUCGUGAAAACUCACAGCUUAACUGUGGGCGUGCGGGCGUUCCGGGCAGCCUAGAGUACUUCAGGGGAGCCUGAAAUUCCUGCUUAAGCGUUGAAAAGCCCAGAUUUCAGGAGGAACCCCGGUGGCCAAGGCGGGUUU
rnacentral:rRNA from 1 species